rnacentral:rRNA from 1 species
AAAGUUGAAAAGAACUUUGAAGAGAGAGUUCAAAAGGGCGUGAAACCGCUUAGAAUAAAACGGACAGAACCGUCUGUUGCCUCUGGGAAUCAGUCGGGCGACGAGUGAACUAGCUUCAGUACUGAGCGUAAGCGAGUCUGGAGUGUGAUUCAGUAGCUCUCGUUCAGCGCAUUUCUCAGAGGUUAGCACUGCGACCGAUACUAAAGGCCAGUGGAGCAGUCGGGUUGAGGGCGAUACUCCUCACGGAUCAUCGUAUCCAGCCUGAUUGCGUGAUAAUCACUGGACCAGUGUGUAUCGCGUGAGCCUAUGAAUAUACGUCGACUGAAUAGUUCGUUGAUCGGUGGAUAGUCGGUAGAUCGGUUGGCGCCUGUGCACAGGUACCGGCUGGAUCGGCUUGACUGAGAAGCUGUCGGCGACGUUCGACGUAUAGGCGUCAGCAGUGUCAGUGACGGCCACCCGUCCGACCCGUCUUGAAACACGGACCAAGGAGUCUAACAUAUGCGCGAGUCAAUGGGUAGAGAAACCCAUAGGCGAAAUAAAAGUGAAGGCCGUCCUUAGACGGUUAAGGUACGAUCCCGGGCUCUGAGUAGUCAGGGCGCAGUACCGCCCCGUCCCGACUGCAUGUCAGUAGGGCGGAGGUAGAGCGCAUACGUUGGGACCCGAAAGAUGGUGAACUAUGCCUGAGCAGAGCGAAGCCAGAGGAAACUCUGGUGGAGGUUCGUAGCGGUUCUGACGUGCAAAUCGAUCGUCAGACUUGGGUAUAGGGGCGAAAGACUAAUCGAACCAUCUAG